rnacentral:lncRNA from 1 species
AAAAAGGAGAUUGUCUACCAUGUAAAACCAGCUGCAAAUCCACUGAGAAUCACUCCUGGGCACCAUCAGUGUGGGAGCUGCUUCCCUAAGAGCUGAGACUGCCAGCACACGUGAAAAUACCACCCAGCUCUUCCAAGACUGGCCCCAUGCUGGCAGAAGCUAAUGUGUGCAGCUCAAUAGUAUGAUGUCAAGUCCAGAUCUUGAAAGCAGACUGCCAAGUGAGCGAGGACACCUGCUUCAGUGACUGUUUGCAGCUCAGGAUGUUUGCCAUCGCAACGGCAGAGCCGCAGUUCACACCCAGGCACGUUCUCCCCAAGACCUGUGGCUGCAACCACUGCUAUGCAUGGAAUGUGAGACGGACAGUGCUCGCCUAGCCAACAGUUGAUGCUGAAUACAUCUUCAUCUAUGUAUUGACCAUCUGCCCUUUUCCCAUGAUUUGUUUGUCAAAAUUCUUUGCUAAUUUCCU